rnacentral:pre_miRNA from 1 species
CAUCUACUCCCUCCGUUCGGAAUUACUUGUCUCAGAAAUGGAUGUAUCUAGAAUUAAAAUAUGUCUAUAUACAUCCAUUUCUGCGACAAGUAAUUCCGAACGGAGGGAGUACUAC